rnacentral:rRNA from 1 species
UACGAAGGGUGCAAGCGUUACUCGGAAUUACUGGGCGUAAAGCGUGCGUAGGUGGUUGUUUAAGUCUGCUGUGAAAGCCCUGGGCUCAACCUGGGAAUUGCAGUGGAUACUGGGCGACUAGAGUGUGGUAGAAGAUAGUGGAAUUUCCGGUGUAGCAGUGAAAUGCGUAGAGAUCGGAAGGAACAUCUGUGGCGAAGGCGACUAUCUGGGCCAACACUGACACUGAGGCACGAAAGCGUGGGGAGCAAACAGG